GUCCAGCUGGCGUAAAAGGCUAGAGGACAAACAAAAUGCUGCACAGGCCCAAAUAAAGACAACUAUAGACACAUAGCAGAGGUUUCCUGCUUCAAGUAGCUAUUAUAUUAACCUACACUUUAGGCAAAGAGCAUUUUAGGUUUCACACUGAUGAAAACAUAGGAUGAGCAGAAGCAUCAAUAAAAGUUGCACCUUUAAUGAAACAGAUGAAACAGGCCAGCAAAGCUGUGAUCUUCUCCUUUCAAAACCUUGUCACUGCCGUUCAGCAGAAAUUCCACAGGUAUGGGACCAUCCUGCUGGAACGAAAUGCAGGUACUAGAAUUCCAGUGCCAUUUUUGGGAAGACUGUGGAUGCAUUGAAGGCAUUUCCCAGCAUGAUCUGCAAGGGAAAAUGGUGAUGAAGCCAGAAAAAAAGGAAAGCAAAACCAUCACAAAUGCACUGAGUGUUUUUGCAGAAAUAGCAGCAUCGCCAAGGUACCUCCAUCCCUUCACUCCGAUGGCAAUCACACCACAGCUGUCCACUUGGGAAAGAAAAGAACAAAAAGGAAGCAGAUCCCUGGGUUUGAUCCCUCCUGGUCGGGCUGCAGUGCUCUGGGGCUGGAGGAGCCCUGGGGAGGAGGUCAUGUGCAAAUUGAACGUGACAGCCCAGACGACAUGUCCAACAGACUUAUAUUGUUAG
rnacentral:lncRNA from 1 species